UACAGAGGUCUCAAGCGUUGUUCGGAAUUACUGGGCGUAAAGGGCUCGUAGGCGGCCAACUAAGUCAGACGUGAAAUCCCCCGGCUCAACUGGGGAACUGCACAGGAGACUGCUUGGCUUGAGUUCGGGAGAGGGAAGCGGAAUUCCGGGUGUAGCGGUGAAAUGCGUAGAUAUCCGGAGGAACACCGGUGGCGAAGGCGGCUUCCUGGACCGACACUGACGCUGAGGCGCGAAAGCCAGGGGAGCAAACGGG
rnacentral:rRNA from 1 species